GACGAACGCUGGCGGCGUGCUUAACACAUGCAAGUCGAACGAAGAGCGAUGGAUGCUUGCUUCUAUCAAUCUUAGUGGCGAACGGGUGAGUAACGCGUAAUCAACCUGCCCUUCAGAGGGGGACAACAGUUGGAAACGACUGCUAAUACCGCAUACGAUCUAACCUUGGCAUCGAGGAUGGAUGAAAGGUGGCCUCUAUUUAUAAGCUAUCACUGAAGGAGGGGAUUGCGUCUGAUUAGCUAGUUGGAGGGGUAACGGCCCACCAAGGCGAUGAUCAGUAGCCGGUCUGAGAGGAUGAACGGCCACAUUGGGACUGAGACACGGCCCAGACUCCUACGGGAGGCAGCAGUGGGGAAUCUUCCGCAAUGGACGAAAGUCUGACGGAGCAACGCCGCGUGAGUGAUGACGGCCUUCGGGUUGUAAAGCUCUGUUAAUCGGGACGAAAGGCCUUCUUGCGAAUAUUGAGAAGGAU
rnacentral:rRNA from 1 species